GGGGAUGAAAGGAUUUCGACUGGGGCAAGGAGUCUUGGUAAGCAUGCAGAGGAGCUGCACCGCUUUAAAAGCAGCAACCUAAAAUUAACUGACAACAAUAGAUCAGUAGCUUUGGCUGCGUAAUUGCAGCCUUCGUCCGUCCGUUGAGUGCCGCGGCUUCGGAACGGGCGUCGUGUAGCGGCGAACAUGAACGGGGGAGAGGCUCGGCUCCCGUCAGGUAUCAGAGCCUACCGACGCAAUAAGGCUGUCUGUUGCCGUAUUGCCGGGGGAAUCCUAAAUAAUAGACUAAGCAUGUAGAAAGCCUUGAUAAGAGGUUUCAGGACGCGGUUUCGAUUACCGCCAUCUCCACCA
rnacentral:tmRNA from 1 species